AGGUGCUGAACAGUUGAAGCAGAUGAAAGCCAAGGACACAGCCAGAAAGGCAAGAAUCUAUGCUGCCACCUCUUCCUUAACCAGCAUUAUGGGUGAGGCCCAACAACUGGUUGAAGGCUCAGGAUGUGUGGUUGAGUCACUCAUUUUACUUUGGAUCUGCAAAGAUGCUCCACUGUGCUAUGCAAGUAAUAAAAUUUAAUUUAUUUUCC